AAUACACGAGGAAAGAGAGAAAUAAAGAUAGAAAAAAAAGAAAAAUCUGAAAAAAAAUAUUAAGGUUAAAAAAA
rnacentral:ribozyme from 10 species